GCGCUUGUAGCUCAAUUGGAUAGAGCGUCGGACUUCGAAUCCGCAGGUUACAGGUUCGAGCCCUGCCAGGCGCA
rnacentral:tRNA from 1 species